UUAAAAAAAAAAAAGAAAGACAGAAUGUUUGUGUACAAUAGCUGCAAACAGCACCCUCCUCAGCAGUGCACACAGCCUGUUGCUUAUUUGAGCUGGCCUAAGGGACUUUGGAGGCCCUG
ensembl:snoRNA SNORA70 Small nucleolar RNA SNORA70